rnacentral:rRNA from 1 species
UCGGAACGUGCCCAGUCGUGGGGGAUAACGCAGCGAAAGCUGUGCUAAUACCGCAUACGAUCUAUGGAUGAAAGCGGGGGACUCGCAAGGGCCUCGCGCGAUUGGAGCGGCCGAUAUCAGAUUAGCUAGUUGGCGGGGUAAAAGCCCACCAAGGCGACGAUCUGUAGCUGGUCUGAGAGGACGACCAGCCACACUGGAACUGAGACACGGUCCAG